rnacentral:rRNA from 1 species
UACGGAGGAUGCGAGCGUUAUCCGGAUUUAUUGGGUUUAAAGGGUGCGCAGGCGGCGUCACAAGUCAGCGGUCAAACUGCGGGGCUCAACCCCGCACCGCCGUUGAAACUGCGGCGCUGGAGUGUGGGCGACGGAGCCGGAAUGCGUGGUGUAGCGGUGAAAUGCAUAGAUAUCACGCAGAACUCCGAUUGCGAAGGCAGGUUCCGAGUCCGCCACUGACGCUCAUGCACGAAAGCGUGGGUAUC